UCGGUUUUUGAGUGUAUAAUGCAAUGAUUUUUAGGAAAUUGAGUUGUGUAGUCAUUACCAAAACUCAGGUUUCCAUCACCCCCAAAAGAUCCUUGUCCUUUUGUAGUCAACCCUGUUUGUACCCCACACCCCAGACUGCUAAACUAUCUCCGUGAAUUUGCCUUUUCUGAACAUUUAUAUAAAUGGAAUUAUACAACAUGUAGUGUUUUUGUGACCAGCUUCUUACACUUGGCGAAAUAUAGUUUUGAAGUUCAUCCACAUGGUGUCAGGACUUCAUUUUUCUUGCCAAAUAAUAUUCCGAUAUAUGGAUAUGCCACAUUUUGUUUAUGAAUUCACCCGUUGAUGAACUUUUGGGUUCUUCCCCGUUUUCAGCUCAUAUAAAUAAUGCCAUUGUAGACAUCUGCGUGCAAGUCUGUGUGUGGAUUUGUUUUCAUUUCUGUAGCGCAGAUACCUGGGAGUGGGUUUGCUGGGUUAUGUGGUAGAUUUAUGGUUUACUUUAAAAAAAUUUUGUAAGUUGUGGUAAAAUACAUCACAUAAAAUUUAUAAUCUUAGUCAUUUUGAGGUGUAUAGUUCAGCGGCAUUGAGAAAUUCACAAUGUCACCACCGUCUUUCUUCAGUACUCUUUUCAUCCUGCAAAACCAAAACUCUAUACCUACUGAACAGUAACUCCCCAAACUUCUGUCUACUCAAGUCCUGACAACCCGAAUUCUGCUUUCCGUCUCUAUGAUUUGACCACUUUUCACUCUGUCAAUUGUGUUCUUUGAUACUCAGAAGUUUUCAAUUUUGAUUAGGCCCAAAUUAUCUAUUUGUUGUUGUUACCUAAGCUUUUGGUGUCAUGUCCAAGAAAUCAUUGCUAAAUUGAAUGUCAGUGAAGUUUUUUGCCUGUGUUUUUGUCUAAGAGUUUCAUAGUUUUAGGUUUUAUGUUUAGGUUUUUGAUCCAUUUGAAGGUAGUUUUUGUAUACAGUGUAAGGUAAGGGUCCAGCAGCUUCAUCUUUUGCAUGUGAAUAUCCAGCUUUUUCCAGCAUCAUUUGUUGAAAAGACUGUCCUUUUCCCAUUGAAUAGUCUUGGCACCCUUGUUGAGAAUCAUUUGACCAUACAUAUGGGGGUUGUUUGUUUUUUUUUUUUCUCUUUAGGGGCCACACUCAUGGCAUAUGGAAGUUCCCAGGCUAGGGGUUGAAUAGGAGCCAAGGCUGCGGGACUACACCACAGCCACAGCAGUGUGGCAUCCGAGCUCUGUCUCUGACCCACACCACAGCUCAUGGCAAUGCUGGAUCCUUAACCAGCUGAGCAAGGCCAGGGAUUGAGCCCAAAUUCUCAUGGAUUCUAGUUGGGUUCAUCGGUUUCUGCUGAGCCAGGAUGGGAACUCUUUUUUUUUUUUNUUAGUGAACUCCUAUGUUUAUGUGAGGAUUUGGGUUUUCUCCUGGUCUUCUGUUUAACUUUUCAAGAAACUGCCACACUGUUUUCCAAAGCGACCACACCAUGGUACAAUCCCCUCCAACAAUGUAUGAGGGUUCCUGUUUAUAUCCUUGAAAAAAUUUAUUACUUGUUCUUUUGAUUAUACCCAUUCUUGUGGGUGUGACGUUGUAUCUCUUUGGUUCUUGACCUUUAAACGUUCUGCCUUUGUCCAGCUUGGAACAGAGAGGGGGUAAAACAGAGGGAUGACCUGCCCGCCCACAACCAUGGGACCAAUUAUCUGCCUGAACACACUCAGUGCUUCUGCAGCGUGGACUGAAUAAACUCAGGCAGGGUCUUAACAUCUUAGAGCCUCAGUUUUCCCUUCUGAAUAAUGGGGUCAAGAAGUCCCUUUCUACACAGGGUGAGAUAGGAACAUGUAUACAAGUGCCUUUUUCUUUGGUGCUUAAUACUGUUAGGUUUGCUGAGGGAGGAACGCACAAGGCCAAGUUGGUAAAGCAAAAGAGAUUUACUAAGGCGUCAGAGGGGGAUGGGCUGACCUCAUGAUGGUGUCAGCCUUGACUGUGAUGAGGUGCUAGGCGUAUAAAGGAUCUGUAGGGGGAAUCUGGCUGGAGUUCAUAGCUGGAAUGAUGAAGGAGGUAGGAGGGAAAGGUCAAGGGAGGGGUAGGGGGUCGAGUCCCAUGACAGAGGGCAGUUAAUCCUUGUAGGUGGCUGAUUUAUUAUACAGGCCAUUGUUUCUUGCUCCCCAACCUGAGCAUACACAUUCGGGAAAGGGUGUCCACAGCAGGUCUCCAAGGUGAACCACAUUUGGGCAGGGGGUGGGGGGGGUCUCUCGUCCUCCUGGGAACCUAUCAAAUACAUGUUGACGAACAGUUUUACUCCAUAAAUUUCCCUUCAGUGUGUUUUUGCUGUGAACAUCCUGGGUGCUGAUUUAACUUGUCCAGCAAAUAGGACUUCCUGGCAUUUUAAGCAUAACAGAAUCCUGCUAGACCCCUGGGCUGUCCCUCUCCUGUUCCUCUGGAUGCCACUCAGAUCUCUUCACGCCCGUCUCACUCACCAGCACUGAGCAAACAGGGAGCACCCUGCUCCUUUGCCUGCCUGUCAUCUGGGUCAUGAUCACUUGUUUAUCCAGUUUGACUUCCCUCUCAUCAUCUAUCCUGGCUUCUCUGCACUCUGACAAAAUCCGAUGCAUACGCUUGACCUCUCACCCUGGAUCCUGUUGGGGCAAAACCCAUUUUUAUCCUAGGCCUGACGACUGUGGUGAGGUGGCCUUUUCUUUCUGGGUGCGGCCACAUCUGCAGAAACGAGCUCCUGGGGGAGAUAAACAGGCUUCGCCUCCUGAGCCUGGGUUGCUAGCUGCUGUGGUAAUUGGCUUGGCAGUUGGCAGCGCACUCCCUGUAAAGGUUGUCCUUCAGCUGAUACUUGGUGAAAGCUGCAAGGCCAACCCCCUUGGGAGUUCCCGUAGACAGCAGCUGUCUUGUCUAAUUAAGGAGAGACAGGGAAAAGGUGUUUUGAAGGGAGACCUCUUAUCUCACAGAACAGUUGGCGGGAGCUGAACAUCUGGAGGGAAGAUAGGAAGGCCGAGGCAGAGGACAUAGUGGCCGCAGCCUGCAACACUUGGCAGAAAAUGCUUUGCUGGCAGUUGAGGAUAAUGUUUGAAUGUUUUCUAAGGACUUAAUGUAUCCUCUGUAGUCACCUGGGCAAUAGAUCCCAUGCUUAUUAAAACAUGUUGUGCACAACACAGCACUGUAAAGCAACCAUACUUCAGUAAAAUUAAAAAGAGAUUUUGUGCACUUAAGGCUCCAGGUGUCCCACAAUACUUGGAUACAGAUAGGAAGUACUUUUCAUAUCCUGCCAAAAUAAAAAAUCCUGAAACAACUGAGCGAAACUCGGGAACCUUACCGAUAUUUCAGUGGGGUAUGACUUUAGUCAUUUAGAACUGCUUAAGAAAUUUUGGGACUAUUCUGAGCCUAAGCUGUCAAGAUCCAUAGUGAAGACCUGAGUUUUAGGGGUGAAUUCCCUUUACACUUGAGAGCAGCAGUGUCUGUAGAAAUAUAAUGUGAAUCCACAUGCAUAACUUAACAUUUCCUAAUAGCCACUUGUAUUACCUUCCUAAGGCUGCCGUAGCAAAUGAUCACCAACAGGGUGGGUUAAGCAAAAGAAAAUUCCUUUAAUUCAGUUUUGGAGGCCAGAGGUUUGAAAUCAAGGUGUCGACAGGGCCAUGCUCCCUCUGAAGGGUCUGAAAAGAAUCCUUCUUGGCCUAGUCCCCCAGCAUCUGGUGGCUCCUGGCAUUCCUUAGCUGCCUUUGGCUUGAUAGACCUGUCUCUCCAGUCUCUGCCUUUGUCUUCACAUGGGAUCUUUCCAUGUGUCCAAGUCUCACUCUCGUCUUUCUCUUAUAAAACUACUAAUUACUGGAGUUCCCUUCAUAUCUCAGUGAUUAAUGAACUGGACUAGGAUCCGUGAGGAUGCAAGUUCGGUCCCAGGCCUCACUCAGUGGGUUAAGGAUCUGGCAUUGCUGUGAGCUGUGGUGUAGGUCGCAGAUGCGGCUCAGAUCCUGAGUUGCUGUGGCUAUGGUGUAGGUGGGCGGCUACAGCUCUGAUUCGACCCCUAGCCUGGGAACUUCCAUAUGUCACAAGUGGAGCCCUAAAAUAGCAAAAAAAAAAAAAAAAAAA
rnacentral:lncRNA from 1 species